rnacentral:rRNA from 1 species
UACGUAGGGAGCGAGCGUUGUCCGGAUUCAUUGGGCGUAAAGAGCUCGUAGGCGGCUUGGCAAGUCGGGUGUGGAAAACUCCAGGCUCAACCUGGAGACGCCACCCGAUACUGCCAUGGCUAGAGUCCGGUAGGGGACCACGGAAUUCCUGGUGUAGCGGUGAAAUGCGCAGAAUAUCAGGAGGACACCGGUGGCGAAGGCGGAUGGUCUGGGCCGGAACUGACGCUGGAGGAGCGAAAGCGUGGGGAGCGAA